AAGCGGAGAAACCGGUUUUCCCGACAGCCAGGAACUGUUUCUCACCCUAGACCUGGAGCCAGUACCCCCCGAACCCACCCAAGGCUGCCUCCUGGACCCAGCAGGCGGAGAAGGGACCUCUGCUGCAUGUGUUUCAAUGAUCACAGGAUCUUCUUCUUCCCAGAGGCUAGUGAAGCUUAGAAAGAAAAAAAAACGCACUCGCGAUGAAAUGUUCUCCGAGCUCAUGCUGUCCUCCCACACUGACAGAGCACAGGCGAAUGCGUGGAGG